rnacentral:rRNA from 1 species
AGAGUUUGAUCCUGGCUCAGGAUGAACGCUGGCGGUAUGCUUAACACAUGCAAGUCGAACGAAAGUUUUUAACUUUAGUGGCGAACGGGUGCGUAAUACGUGAGAAUCUGCCCUUAGGAGGAGAAUAACUUCUGGAAACGGUUGCUAAGUCUCCAUAUGCCGAGAGGUGAAAUAGUUUAUACUGCCUAGGGAUGAGCUCACGCCUGAUUAGCUUGUUGGUAAGGUAAUGGCUUACCAAGGCCACGAUCAGUAGCUGGUUUGAGAGAACGAUCAGCCACACUGGGACUGAGACACGGCCCAGACUCCUCCGGGAGGCAGCAGUGAGGAAUUUUCCGCAAUGGGCGAAAGCCUGACGGAGCAAUACCGCGUGAGGGAUGAAGGAUUUUGGUCUGUAAACCUCUUUUCUCAAGAAAGAAGUUCUGACGGUACUUGAGGAAUAAGCAUCGGCUAACUCCGUGCCAGCAGCCGCGGUAAUACGGGGGAUGCAAGCGUUAUCCGGAAUCAUUGGGCGUAAAGCGCCUGUAGGUUGUUUAAUAAGUCUGUUGUUAAAGACUAGGGCUUAACCCUAGAAAAGCAAUGGAAACUACUAGACUAGAGUAUGGCAGGGGUAGAGGGAAUUUCUAGUGUAGCGGUGAAAUGCGUAGAUAUUAGAAAGAACACCGGUGGCGAAAGCGCUCUACUGGACCAUUACUGACACUCAGAGGCGAAAGCUAGGGUAGCAAAAGGGAUUAGAUACCCCUGUAGUCCUAGCCGUAAACGAUGGAUACUAGAUGUUGGAUUAUAUAGACAGUAUCGUAGCUAACGCGUUAAGUAUCCCGCCUGGGGAGUACGCUCGCAAGGGUGAAACUCAAAGGAAUUGACGGGGGCCCGCACAAGCGGUGGAGCAUGUGGUUUAAUU